rnacentral:rRNA from 1 species
AACGAACGCUGGCGGCAUGCCUAACACAUGCAAGUCGAACGAGACCUACGGGUCUAGUGGCGCACGGGUGCGUAACGCGUGGGAACCUGCCCUUAGGUUCGGCAUAACUCCCCGAAAGGGGUGCUAAUACCGGAUAAUGUCUUCGGACCAAAGAUUUAUCGCCUUUGGAUGGGCCCGCGUUGGAUUAGCUAGUUGGUAGGGUAAAAGCCUACCAAGGCGACGAUCCAUAGCUGGUCUGAGAGGAUGAUCAGCCACACUGGGACUGAGACACGGCCCAGACUCCUACGGGAGGCAGCAGUGGGGAAUAUUGGACAAUGGGCGAAAGCCUGAUCCAGCAAUGCCGCGUGAGUGAUGAAGGCCUUAGGGUUGUAAAGCUCUUUUACCCGGGAUGAUAAUGACAGUACCGGGAGAAUAAGCUCCGGCUAACUCCGUG